rnacentral:rRNA from 1 species
AGAGUUUGAUUCUGGCUCAGGAUGAACGCUGGCGGCGUGCCUAAUACAUGCAAGUCGAGCGAACCACUUCGGUGGGAAGCGGCGAACGGGUGAGUAACACGUAGGUAAUCUGCCCAUCAGACGGGGACAACGAUUGGAAACGAUCGCUAAUACCGGAUAGGACGAAAGUUUAAAGAUGCUCCUGGCAUCACUGAUGGAUGAGCCUGCGGCGCAUUAGCUAGUUGGUGGGGUAAAGGCCUACCAAGGCGACGAUGCGUAGCCGACCUGAGAGGGUGAACGGCCACACUGGGACUGAGACACGGCCCAGACUCCUACGGGAGGCAGCAGUAGGGAAUCUUCGGCAAUGGGCGAAAGCCUGACCGAGCAACGCCGCGUGAAUGAAGAAGGCCUUCGGGUUGUAAAAUUCUGUUAUAAGGGAAGAAAGGUGAUAGGAGGAAAUGACUAUCAAUUGACGGUACCUUAUGAGAAAGCCACGGCUAACUACGUGCCAGCAGCCGCGGUAAUACGUAGGUGGCAAGCGUUAUCCGGAAUUAUUGGGCGUAAAGAGCGCGCAGGUGGUUAAUUAAGUCUGAUGUGAAAGCCCACGGCUUAACCGUGGAGGGUCAUUGGAAACUGGUUGACUUGAGUG